UACGUAGGGUGCGAGCGUUAAUCGGAAUUACUGGGCGUAAAGCGUGCGCAGGCGGUGAUGUAAGACCGAUGUGAAAUCCCCGGGCUUAACCUGGGAACUGCAUUGGUGACUGCAUUGCUGGAGUAUGGCAGAGGGGGGUGGAAAUCCACGUGUAGCAGUGAAAUGCGUAGAGAUGUGGAGGAACACCGAUGGCGAAGGCAGCCCCCUGGGCCAAUACUGACGCUCAUGCACGAAAGCGUGGGGAGCAAACAGG
rnacentral:rRNA from 1 species